ACUGCAGGAUUGUGUGUAUCGGUGUUGGGCCUUCAAGAUAUGCACUACUUACAAAAGUAUUUCCUGCUAUAAUUAUCUUGUAGAAUACGGGUAGUUCCCUUUAAAUUGACUUUUUUUAUUGGGAAUCAGAGCAAUCAUUUCCCUCAUAUUU